GGCUGGUCCAAAGGUAGUGAGUUAUCUCACUUGAUUUUUCAUAGUCAGUUGCAGAUUGAACUCCUUGUUCUACCAAUUACCCCCUUCUCACUACUGCACUUGACUAGUCAAAA
rnacentral:Y_RNA from 1 species